GAUGAACGCUGGCGGCGUGCCUAAUACAUGCAAGUCGAGCGAACAGACGAGGAGCUUGCUCCUCUGACGUUAGCGGCGGACGGGUGAGUAACACGUGGAUAACCUACCUAUAAGACUGGGAUAACUUCGGGAAACCGGAGCUAAUACCGGAUAAUAUAUUGAACCGCAUGGUUCAAUAGUGAAAGACGGUUUUGCUGUCACUUAUAGAUGGAUCCGCGCCGCAUUAGCUAGUUGGUAAGGUAGCGGCUUACCAAGGCAACGAUGCGUAGCCGACCUGAGAGGGUGAUCGGCCACACUGGAACUGAGACACGGUCCAGACUCCUACGGGAGGCAGCAGUAGGGAAUCUUCCGCAAUGGGCGAAAGCCUGACGGAGCAACGCCGCGUGAGCGAUGAAGGUCUUCGGAUCGUAAAACUCUGUUAUUAGGGAAGAACAAAUGUGUAAGUAACUAUGCACGUCUGGACGGUACCUAAUCAGAAAGCCACGGCUAACUACGU
rnacentral:rRNA from 1 species